rnacentral:lncRNA from 1 species
GGAGCCCCCAGGUUUGGAGGCUUCCCGUCCAAGAAGUCCACUUUUAUUGCUUUGAGUGCACUGUACAUGGGGCUGUACCAGUGUGAUCCAAACCAGCUUUAUCUCAUCUGAGAUGUUACGUCCCCCUCGAAGGCUCAUGUG